AGUGAACGCUGGCGGUAGGCCUAACACAUGCAAGUCGAACGGCAGCACAGUAAGAGCUUGCUCUUACGGGUGGCGAGUGGCGGACGGGUGAGGAAUACAUCGGAAUCUACUUUUUCGUGGGGGAUAACGUAGGGAAACUUACUCUAAUACCGCAUACGACCUACGGGUGAAAGCAGGGGAUCUUCGGACCUUGCGCGAUUGAAUGAGCCGAUGUCGGAUUAGCUAGUUGGCGGGGUAAAGGCCAACCAAGGGGCCGAUUCGUAGCUGGUCUGAGUGGAUGAUCGGCCACAUGAGAGCUGAGCCGCGGACAAGGCGACUACGGGAGGGAGCAGAGGGGAAUAUUGGACAACAGGCGGAAACAUUAUCCAGCCAGACCGCGUGUGUUGAAAAGACCUUCGGGUUGUAAAGCCCUUUUGUUGGGAAAAAAAAGCAGCAGGUUAAUACCCCGCUGUACUGACGGUACCCAAAGAAUAAGCACCGGCUAACUUCGUG
rnacentral:rRNA from 1 species